CUCUCUCUCUCUCUGUGUGCGCGCACACUUUGAUUUUUCAUUUCUUAGCUAAUACUCUGCUGUGAGCAGUGAGAUUGUUACAACUAUAGCCUCUGCGUUAACCUUGAUGAGCCUUUUCAUAUUGUGUGUCAUAUGACAUCUUUCUUAAGAUCUUUACUUAAUCUAGGCUUUUGUACCAAUACUUUUAUGGGCUGCCGUUGGCUAUGACCAAUCACUUUUUUUCUGGUUUUGAGCCAAUGAUUCAGCAAUUUGCAAAUGUAGGGUGUCAACUGCCAUGAAAGCAUCCAAUCUUGUUAGUUGUAACCCAAAACUGAGUUUUCACAAGACAGAACUUUGAUUGUUUCUAGAAAUCAGAAUCCUCUUAUUUCUAGUAGUUUUAAGCAUACCCUGUAGCACGUGGUGUCCCCAUCAAUUUGAAGGCCAACUGAUGUGGGAUGUCAAUAUUUGGAAUUUGGGCUUGAUGCCUAAAUGAGAAUGACGCAUUAAAAAAUCUAACCAGCUUUUUGUCAUUCGUGGUCUUGAACUAUGAAAAGACUAGGGGAGAUGAGUUAAGGAAGCAGAAAAACAGGCGAAAUUUAUCAUAUUUAAAUUUAGUAAAUGUUUAAAAAAUUUUAGUAGACUGCAAAAUCUAGUACCUCUUUUAUUAUUACUGAUAAUGAAUAAAUUAUGAAAAAAAAAUGAUGUAGAUCACUUUAAUAAUACUAGACUUUAGCAGUUAUGCUCUCCAUCAUGGUAAGGAGUAUUGUCAUGAGAAAAGCAACCUUCAUAUUUGAAUUAUGUGCCACAUCAAAUUUGUCUAAUUUGGAUCUCGCUAGCUAGAGAAGGGGAUAAUCCCUGUAGAUGCUUUUC
rnacentral:misc_RNA from 1 species